rnacentral:rRNA from 1 species
AUACGGAGGGUGCAAGCGUUGUUCGGAAUCACUGGGCGUAAAGGGCGCGCAGGCGGUUUUACAAGUCAGAUGUGAAAGCCCACGGCUCAACCGUGGAAGUGCAUUUGAAACUGUAAGACUUGAGUAUCAGAGGGGAAGGUGGAAUUCCCGGUGUAGAGGUGAAAUUCGUAGAUAUCGGGAGGAAUACCGGUGGCGAAGGCGACUUUCUGGCUGAAUACUGACGCUGGGGCGCGAAAGCGUGGGGAGCAAACAGGAUUAGAAACCCUAGUAGUCC